UGGAAUUAGUUGGGUUCCCACCAAAAUAAAAACAAACUUGUUGACAGCCGGUCAAUUUCAAAAUUAUCCCAACCAAGAACACUACUUAAAUUCACCAAAUUUGUCUUUUGCGGCUCAUGUGGGAAACAUUUUCAGUUUUUGGCUGACGCUGAAGACGACGACAUGGCUCUCCCUGUAAGGUGCUGGUACAGUGUCUUGGUGAGGAAUCAAGGACCGGGACCACCAUAAACCAUACAGACUGCAAUCAUCCUCCCAGCAAGGAAGUAUUCAUCAUCUUUUGCCGCUGUAAUGAAUGGAUAGUUUUCUCCAAUUAAUAAACAUUUUAAAUCACUUUUACCCUCUC